rnacentral:lncRNA from 1 species
GAUGCCUCCUAUAAAAUGUUCCCUUUGUAAAAAUCAGACCAGCUGAGAUUGGUUAGAACGAAGACAGCCAAAGAAAGGACUGCAAAAAGACUUCCGGCUUCAUUAUAAUCUCAUUUCCAUGCUAAAUGACACUCUUGCCAGUGCUGCCUUGACAAUCACUAUGAUAAUGACCAGAAGAAGUCAUAAAAAGACUAAAAGAAAGGUGGCACUACUGGCUUUGGAAAGUUCACUGCCUGUCCCAGGAAACAUGUAAAUAUUCCUGCCCUCACUUCUAAGGUCCAACCCCUUCAUUAGAGAAACCCUAUAUUUUAAACCUCUCACCCCUUGGUUUGUCAGCCAUGUUACUGCUUCUCAGUUCCAUGGCCAUCAAAUAAAGCCUGUACUACUUGAUGCUCAUUUUUGGUUUUGCAUUUUGGCUUCAUGUCAUGGAAAAGGAAAAUACCCUAUUUUGCUGAAUCGGCUUUGUCAGUAACAAAUUUAUAACAUUAGAUUGAAUCCUAUGAUCAAUUGUAUGCUGUUUGAAGCUCUAUACCACCA